rnacentral:rRNA from 1 species
UACGUAGGACCCGAGCGUUGUCCGGAAUUACUGGGUGUAAAGGGUGCGUAGGCGGAUAGGUGCGUCAGAGGUGAAAUCUCCGAGCUUAACUUGGAGUGUGCCUUUGAAACGGCUUGUCUUGAGUGCGAGAGAGGAUGAUAGAAUUCCUGGUGUAGCGGUGAAAUGCGUAGAUAUCAGGAGGAAUACCAGUGGCGAAGGCGGUCAUCUGGCUCGUAACUGACGCUGAGGCACGAAAGCGUGGGGAUCAAACAGG